rnacentral:misc_RNA from 1 species
GAAAUGCGAUAAGUAAUGUGAAUUGCAGAAUUCAGUGAAUCAUCGAAUCUUUGAACGCACAUUGCGCCCGCCAGUAUUCUGGCGGGCAUGCCUGUCCGAGCGGCAUUUCAACCAUCAAGCCCCCGGGCUUGUGUUGGGGACCUGCGGCUGCCCGCAGGCCCUGAAAACCAGUGGCGGGCUCGCUGUCACACCGAGCGUAGUAGCAAUCACCUCGCUCAGGGCGUGCUGCGGGUUCCGGCCGUUAAACAGCCUUACAAAACCCAAGGUUGACCUCGGAUCAGGUAGGAAGACCCGCUGAACUUAAGC